GGUGGGAGGUUUCGAGCAAGCCGAGUCCACCACGCAUAUUGUGCAGAUGACGCUCCGAGGAAACUUAACACCAGACGCUCUGCCCCAUUUGUUCAAGAUCUUUAGUGACUCAGUACUCGUCGUCGUUCCCGGGAGAGCUCCAAUUUGCCUUCGUUGUCGUCGCAUAGGACACAUUAGACGAGACUGCAGAGUGCCAAGAUGUGCUCACUGCCGGGAAUUCGGCCAUGAAGCACAAGAGUGCGUGCCUACCUAUGCAAGAGUUACUGGCAGCACGCAUCCUGCCGACUAUGCCC
rnacentral:lncRNA from 1 species